rnacentral:rRNA from 1 species
UACGGAGGGUGCGAGCGUUGUCCGGAAUCACUGGGCGUAAAGGGCGCGUAGGCGGCCUGGCAAGUCGAUGGUGAAAGCCCGAGGCUCAACUUCGGGUCGGCCACUGAUACUGCUGGGCUUGAGUCGACUAGAGGCAGAUGGAAUUCCGGGUGUAGCGGUGGAAUGCGUAGAGAUCCGGAAGAACACCGGUGGCGAAGGCGGUCUGCUGGGGUCGAACUGACGCUGAGGCGCGACAGCGUGGGGAUCAAACAGG